GGGAGGCAGCAGUGGGGAAUAUUGCGCAAUGGGGGAAACCCUGACGCAGCGACGUCGUGUGAGGGAAGAAGGCCUUCGGGUCGUAAACCUCUGUCAGAAGGGAAGAAAAACCAGGAGUCGAAUAGGCUUUUGGUCUGACGGUACCUUCAGAGGAAGCGCCGGCUAACUCCGUGCCAGCAGCCGCGGUAAUACGGAGGGCGCAAGCGUUAAUCGGAAUUACUGGGCGUAAAGCGUGCGUAGGCUGUCUGAUAAGUCAGGCGUGAAAUCCCUCGGCUCAACCGGGGAACUGCGUUUGAUACUGUCGGACUCGAGUCCUGGAGAGGGUGGCGGAAUUCCUGGUGUAGGAGUGAAAUCCGUAGAUAUCAGGAGGAACACCGGUGGCGAAGGCGGCCACCUGGACAGGUACUGACGCUGAGGCACGAAAGCGUGGGGAGCAAACAGGAUUAGAUACCCCCGU
rnacentral:rRNA from 1 species